rnacentral:ncRNA from 1 species
AAAAGAAAGUAGAUAAUUUUACAGACUAUGGUAAGAAUAACUGCUUGAGCCGUAUGCGGUGAAAGUCGCACGUACGGUUCUUAGCGGGGGAAAGAUUUGUGAAAAUCCUACCUAUCGCAACUAGAUACCUGUGUAGUCCAGACCGUAAACUAUUUACAUUUCUUAUUUGGCCACAAAUCAUAUUGAUUUAUAAUGUCAGAUAAGCAGCAAACCGCUGUAUGUGUAACACCUUGUAAGUACAGUCCCAGGACCGAAAGCAAAAAGAUUAGACCAUCCUAAAGACCCGGAGUGGAGCAUGUUGUUUAAUACGAUAAUCCGCGUAGAACCUUACCUCUCCUUGAAUGGCUUACAGAACUUUGUUUGUAAGAUCACAGGCGUUGCAUGGCUGUCGGCAGUUCGUGUCGUAAGAUGUCAGGUUGAGUCCGCCAACGAACGCAAUCCCUAUAAGAAGUUGUUUUCAGUAGUAAUACUGCUCUUCUUAUUUGCAUUCAAUAAGAAGCAUUUUUGGGAAUACGAUAAGCCUUCAUGACCCUUA